CACGCCCUAAACGGUGGGUAUUAGGUGUGGGGCCUUCAUGGGUUCCGUGCCGUAGCGAAAGCAUUAAAUACCCCGCCUGGGGAGUACGGCCGCAAGGUUGAAACUCAAAGGAAUUGACGG
rnacentral:rRNA from 1 species